GACGAACGCUGGCGGCGUGCUUAACACAUGCAAGUCGAGCGGAAAGGCCCUUCGGGGUACUCGAGCGGCGAACGGGUGAGUAACACGUGAGUAUCUGCCCUGCGCUCUGGGAUAGCCACCGGAAACGGUGAUUAAUACCGGAUAGGACCACUUCACGCAUGUGAUGGUGGUGGAAAGUUUUUUCGGCGCAGGAUGUGCUCGCGGCCUAUCAGCUUGUUGGUGAGGUAAUGGCUCACCAAGGCUUUGACGGGUAGCCGGCCUGAGAGGGUGACCGGUCACACUGGGACUGAGACACGGCCCAGACUCCUACGGGAGGCAGCAGUGGGGAAUAUUGGACAAUGGGCGGAAGCCUGAUCCAGCAACGCCGCGUGAGGGAUGACGGCCUUCGGGUUGUAAACCUCUUUCAGUAGGGACGAAGCGCAAGUGACGGUACCUACAGAAGAAGGACCGGCCAACUACGUGCCAGCCGCCGCGGUAAUAC
rnacentral:rRNA from 1 species